rnacentral:rRNA from 1 species
AUGAAUCUCCUCAGAUGGAACUGCCGAGGGGGUGGAAACUCUCCGACAGUUCGUGACCUUGUGAGUCUAGUGCAGGCUCACUCCCCGAGUAUCGUUUUUCUUUGUGAGACUAGGCAGUCUAAGAAUAAAAUGAAACGUCUUCGUGCUAGGUUAGGUUUGAGAGGUUUUGAUGCUUUUGAUUGUCGGUCUAGUGGUGGUCUUGCUUUGUAUUGGCAUGAGUCUUUGAGUCUAGAUGUAAAAGAAAUAAAUGAACGAUAUAUUGAUGCGUAUGUAACUGGUAUGGCGGGUGAGCCACCCCGGAGGCUUACCUGUGUCUAUGGCGAGCCACAGACGGAGGACCGUCAUUGCAUGUGGUCCCUUCUCCGUGAUCUUCACCAAAACACUAGUAGAAAAAGGGUCAAAUGUGAGACACAUUAG